rnacentral:rRNA from 1 species
UGAGGAAUAUUGGUCAAUGGGCGAGAGCCUGAACCAGCCAAGUCGCGUGAAGGAAGACAGUCCUAAGGAUUGUAAACUUCUUUUAUACGGGAAUAACGGGCGAUACGAGUAUUGCAUUGAAUGUACCGUAAGAAUAAGCAUCGGCUAACUCCGUGCCAGCAGCCGCGGUAAUACGGAGGAUGCGAGCGUUAUCCGGAUUUAUUGGGUUUAAAGGGUGCGUAGGUUGUUCGGUAAGUCAGCGGUGAAACCUGAGCGCUCAACGUUCAGCCUGCCGUUGAAACUGCCGGGCUUGAGUUCAGUGGCGGCAGGCGGAAUUCGUGGUGUAGCGGUGAAAUGCAUAGAUAUCACGAGGAACUCCGAUUGCGAAGGCAGCUUGCCAUACUGCGACUGACACUGAAGCACGAAGGCGUGGGUAUCAAACAGGAUUAGAUACCCUGGUAGUCCACGCAGUAAACGAUGAUUACUAGGAGUUUGCGAUAUACCGUCAAGCUUCCACAGCGAAAGCGUUAAGUAAUCCACCUGGGGAGUACGCCGGCAACGGUG